ensembl:miRNA
GUAUUAGGUUGGUGCAAAAGUAAUUUCAGUUUUCUAUCACUUUCAAUGGCAAAAACUGCAAUCACUUUUGCACCAACCU